UGGGGAAUAUUGCGCAAUGGGCGAAAGCCUGACGCAGCGACGCCGCGUGGAGGAUGAAGGUCUUCGGAUUGUAAACUCCUGUCAGAUGGGAAGAAAAGUCUAUGUUUAAUAGACGUAGAAUAUGACGGUACCAUCAGAGGAAGCACCGGCUAACUUCGUGCCAGCAGCCGCGGUAAUACGAAGGGUGCAAGCGUUAUUCGGAAUCACUGGGCGUAAAGGGUGCGUAGAUGGUUUGUUAAGUUCGUUGUUAAAGGCUCUGGCCUAACCGGAGUAUUGCAAUGAAAACUGGCAGACUAGAGGGUGAGAGAGAGAAGUGGAAUUCCCGGAGUAGCGGUAAAAUGCGUGGAUCUCGGGAGGAACACCAAUGGCGAAGGCAGCUUCUUGGCUCAUUCCUGACAUUGAGGCACGAAAGCGUGGGGAGCAAACAGG
rnacentral:rRNA from 1 species